GUCCUUUAGAGUAGAAUUUAAGGUUUAACCUGCCCAUUGAUUAAUUUAACGGCCGCAGUAUAUUGACUGUGCAAAGGUAGCAUAAUCAUUAGUUUUUUAAUUGAAAGCUAGAAUGAAUGGUUGGACGAGAUAUAGACUGUCUUUAAUUUAUAUAUAGAAUUUAAUUUUUAAGUUAAAAAGCUUAAAUGAGAUUAAAAGACGAGAAGACCCUAUAGAUCUUUAUAUAUAUAAAUAUAUAAUUUUUAAGGAUUGAUAAUUUUUAUAUGUUUUUAUUUAUUUAAUUGGGGUAAUUGGUAGAUUUAAUAAAUUCUUUUUGUUUUUAACUAUUAUUGUUGUUUUUGUUGAUCCAUUAUUAUUGAUUGUAAGAUUAAGUUACCUUAGGGAUAACAGCGUAAUUUUUUUUGAGAGUUCUUAUUGAUAAAAAAGUUUGCGACCUCGAUGUUGGAUUAAAAUUAAUUUUGGGUGUAGAAGUUUGAAGUUUUAGUCUGUUCGACUAUUAAAAUUUUACAUGAUCUGAGUUCAAACCGGUGUGAGCCAGGUUGGUUUCUAUCUUUAGUUAGUUAAAAUAUUUUAGUACGAAAGGACCGAGUAUUUGAUAAGCAUUAUUUUAUUUUUGAGUAAUAUU
rnacentral:rRNA from 1 species